rnacentral:rRNA from 1 species
CCUACGGGUUGCAGCAGUGAGGAAUAUUGGUCAAUGGGCUGGAGCCUGACCCAGCCAAGUAGCGUGAAGUAUGACUGCCCUACGGGUUGUAAACUUCUUUUAUAAAGGAAUAAAGUGAGUCACGUGUGCCUUUUUGUAUGUACUUUAUGAAUAAGGAUAGGAUAACUCCGUGACAGCAGCCGCGGUAAUACGGAGGAUCCGAGCGUUAUCCGGAUUUAUGUGGUUUAAAGGUAGCGUAGAUGGGUUGUUAAGUCAGUUGUGAAAGUGUGCGGCUCAACCGUAAAAGUGCAAUUGAAACUGGCAGUCUUGAGUACAGUGGAGGUAGGCAGAAUUCGUAGUGUAGCGGUGAAAUGCUUAGAUAUCACGAAGAACUCCGAUUGCGAAGGCAGCUUACUAAACUGCCACUGACAUUGAUGCUCGAAAGUGUGGGUAUCAAACAGGAUUAGAUACCCUAGUAGUC